rnacentral:lncRNA from 1 species
GGGAGGGAGAGGAGGUGACGGGGGGUCCGAUCUGGGCUGGAGCGGCGGCAGCUGGUGGCCGGACGGCGGCGGGAGGACGGCCGGAAGUCUGCUGGGUGUAGAGAGAAAAAACUCGGGUGGGAAGAGAAGAAAAAUCGGGAGGAAGAGAGAGAGAAAGGAAGAAGAAAUGGGUUGGGCUCGGCCCAGCCGACCCAACUCUCCUUUUAAUCCAAAAUUCAACACCCCGAAAAAUAAUACCCGAAUAAAAAUUACCUUUUACUAGCUAAAAUUUACUAUUUUUACCGUAGUCGUAUUUUCCUCAUACGAAUAAUCCUCCGCACAUAAUCGUCCCCGAAACCCCUCUAGGGACCAAUUAAACUAUUUACUCAAUGAUCGAGACGGUAAAAUUCUUAUUAUAAUCACGCUAGUAAAUAAGGUAAAAAUAUAAGGGUCGGGAUGUGACAUUAA